rnacentral:lncRNA from 1 species
UAUUAUGGGUUAACAUGUAAUGGGUAGUAAUAAGCCAUUGAUUUGACCCUAAUUGGGAUGUUGAAUGCUGAAAAAUUGUGUUGGAUAAGUUGUGUUAAAGCUGUAAUUGAAUCUGUAUUUGUGUGAGUCGUGAUUUCCCGAACGUAUAGCUUUUUACGGAAUUGGAAUCGGAGGUCCGGAAGUCCUCCAACGGCGGAAAAUGCGGAGAAUUCUGCAUUCUGCUU